rnacentral:rRNA from 1 species
CCUACGGGUGGCAGCAGUGGGGAAUAUUGCACAAUGGGCGAAAGCCUGAUGCAGCAACGCCGCGUGAGCGAUGAAGGCCUUCGGGUCGUAAAGCUCUGUCCUCAAGGAAGAUAAUGACGGUACUUGAGGAGGAAGCCCCGGCUAACUACGUGCCAGCAGCCGCGGUAAUACGUAGGGGGCUAGCGUUAUCCGGAAUUACUGGGCGUAAAGGGGGCGUAGGUGGUUUCUUAAGUCAGAGGUGAAAGGCUACGGCUAAACCGUAGUAAGCCUUUGAAACUGGGAAAGUAGAGUGCGGGAGAGGAGGGUGGAAUUCUUGGUGUAGGGGUAAAAUCCGUAGAGAUUAAGAGGAAUACGCGUUGGGAAGGGG